CCUACGGGGGGCAGCAGUGGGGAAUAUUGCACAAUGGGCGAAAGCCUGAUGCAGCAACGCCGCGUGAGUGAAGAAGUAUCUCGGUAUGUAAAGCUCUAUCAGCAGGGAAGAAAAUGACGGUACCUGACUAAGAAGCCCCGGCUAACUACGUGCCAGCAGCCGCGGUAAUACGUAGGGGGCAAGCGUUAUCCGGAUUUACUGGGUGUAAAGGGAGCGUAGACGGAAGAGCAAGUCUGAUGUGAAAGGCUGGGGCUUAACCCCAGGACUGCAUUGGAAACUGUUUUUCUAGAGUGCCGGAGAGGUAAGCGGAAUUCCUAGUGUAGCGGUGAAAUGCGUAGAUAUUAGGAGGAACACCAGUGGCGAAGGCGGCUUACUGGACUGAAACUGACACUGAGGCACGAAAGCGUGGGGAGCAAACAGGAUU
rnacentral:rRNA from 1 species